rnacentral:lncRNA from 10 species
CUGCAAAGCCCACUUGGAAUAUUGUUGAGUUGAUCUGAACUGUUCUGGAGAAAGACACAGAGGAAUGAAGUGGUUUCUAUGGCCACAUCACUUGGUGGCAGAACAAACUAAAUGAAGAACAGGUGGUGUGAAGAGCCUUCAAGGGCCAGAGAACAGUCAGUAAAGAGAAUACGGUUGGUAAAAUAUUGAAGAGCAUCUGAAAGGGCAGUUUGGCUGGGACAGAGAGUAAGAGACGAGGUAGCACAGUUUAAGCUGGA